UAAAUAGAAUUUAUGAAUUUUAAGUAAUAAAUAUAUAAUUAACGUAUAUUUAUUUUAUUUUAAGUACGUUCUAAAUAUUUAACGAUUUUUGAACUUUAUUAUAUUUAUAUAUCAAAUGUAUAUUUAAUUUUAUUUAAAUAUAUUCUAAAUAUUUUAACGGGUUGUGCAAUCAAAAAUGAUGUUUGAAUUUUAAGUUGAAAAGAAUUCGAAUUACGAAAAUCGAUUGAAUUUAGAAAACGAUCCUAUUCGGUUUUAGAUUCAAAUCCUAAAACUAAUAUCCUAAGUCUAGCCCAAAUGGGUAAAGCCCAAUAAUAUAAACCAAUAAACCCCAUACUCCCUUCCUCCUUAACUUCACGUGAAAACAAAAGAAAAAAAAAAAAAAAACCCUCAUCCUUCUCCUUCACGUGAACCACCCUACUCCUCUUGAUUUCGCACCACCGUACUCUUUGUAGCCGUCGCCGCCAACCACCGUCGGACCUCCGCCCCUGCGCCACCGCCCUUCGCCAGUCGGUACUCUCUUCCGUCUUGCUCUUUCUUCCUUUCUUUAUUUUGUUGUUUUUCACUUCUCCUUAAGCCUUGUGUUCUUGUUACAUGAACAACACCUCCGCCGCCGACGUCGACCAGUACCCUCUGUAUCGCCGCCGCCGAAAGGACCAGCCACCGCCCUCCUUCAUCUCUCCACUUGUUGCUUCUCUGUUUCUUGCUCAGCCACGUGCAACCACCACCGCGACCACCUGCAGCCACCUGCUGCGUCGCCUAGCUCCGCGACCGCCCAGCUCCCUCCGCCGCUCAACUCCCUCGCUGCCGCCGCCCCUGCCGCCGGCCAGCUCUCUCUCUCUUCUCUUUUUGGCGGAGAAUUCUUUGUAGGCGAUUUUUGAAUUCGUUAAAGUGGCCUAUCAGUUUGUUUACACAAGUCUCUAAGGAUCAAUAAGCAUUGUCCAUUUGCAGGUUUGAAGAGGUUGCAUCAUUGGGAUCGGGAAUAGAGAGCUUGUAUUUAGUUUUGAAUUGCUAAGUUAACUUGGGUUUGUUAAUUGGGACUUUAAACUUGUCGUACUAUUUAUAUUUCCUUAUUUUCGUUGGAUGAUUUUUGGGGACUAAAUCUGUAAUCGAUUAUUUAUAAACCUAA